rnacentral:rRNA from 1 species
UACGUAGGGCGCAAGCGUUGUCCGGAAUUAUUGGGCGUAAAGAGCUCGUAGGCGGUUUGUCGCGUCUGCUGUGAAAACCUAAGGCUCAACCUUGGGCUUGCAGUGGGUACGGGCAGACUAGAGUGCGGUAGGGGGUGACUGGAAUUCCUGGUGUAGCGGUGGAAUGCGCAGAUAUCAGGAGGAACACCGAUGGCGAAGGCAGGUCACUGGGCCGCAACUGACGCUGAGGAGCGAAAAGCAUGGGGAGCGAACAGG